rnacentral:misc_RNA from 1 species
CUUAAUCAUUCAAGACGUUUCUAGUAACCGUAAAGACCAUCCAUAUGUAAUGGCUCACACAGAACAUGUAGAAAUCGAUAUUUUCGUACUCCCGCGGGUCUCACUUCAAUUUUCUGUAAGUUCUAUUUAACUACAAACGAAAGUUUUUUCACUACAAACCUCUUUGGAGGUCCCUCAAUGAUUUAUGACGUUUGUAGUAAUUGUGAAGACCAUCCAUCGAUAACUG